rnacentral:lncRNA from 1 species
GGCUAUGCCUCAAUUGAUAAAGUGAACUAAUUGCCUACUUCAAAAGCAGUUUUGCAUGAAAGUCAACAUCUAAUUGGAAUUUACAAUGCCCGAUAUUUCUACACAUCUGCCACAAAUUUUAUGGAAAACAAUAUUUAUAGAAACUGAACAUACCUUGGUUAAACGUAUAUGAAAUGGGUAACCAUCCUCGAAGAACAUCAACCAGCUGUCGGCAAUGUGCAGGUUGACCGAGGAAUUUGUCGGUGUGUC